GAUGCAGGCGGUCAAGUUAGUCGGACGUGAAAGCCCAGGGCCCAACCCUGGAACUGCGCUCGAAACUGCUUGACUAGAGUCCCGGAGGGGAAGGCGGAAUUCCCGGUGUAGAGGUGAAAUUCGUAGAUAUCGGGAGGAACACCAGUGGCGAAGGCGGCCUUCUGGACGGUGACUGAUGCUCAGAUCCGAAAGCGUGGGGAGCAAACAGGAUUAGAUACCCUGGUAGUCC
rnacentral:rRNA from 1 species